rnacentral:lncRNA from 1 species
CAUGAAGCGUCUCACAAUGGUGUUUGGAAUGAUGAUGGGGUGGAUCCGAGGAGGCUAUGGUGCCCUAAGGAAGGGUCCUCAUGGUUUUACCAAUGGGCUUUACCAUCGCUUUACCAAUGAGGAAACUGAGACCCAAAGAGGGGAAGUGACUUAUUCAAGGGUCACGUCACUAGGAUGAAACAGUGGGGAUUCGAACCCAUAUCUUCUGGCUUCAAAAAAUACUCUUCAGGAUAUUAUACUGUAUAUUUAUACUCUCUAGGAAUCCUACUGAAUAUUAUACUAUCUAGGAAAGCAGGAGGUGGUGAAGUUCUGGUGCUCUUUGUAUCAGCAAGCUUUAUGGGAGCUGGAGGAGUCUUUCUGCCUGAAGGGAGAUGAUACAAGAACUCUGCAGGAUUUUGGACCCUGUUGCCUGAGAAACUCUCAGUGUAAAAAAAAAUACAAGGAUCAACAAGUAAUCAAGAACUUAUAGAGCUGGGAUUUGGAGCCACAACUGUCUUCUUUUCAGGAUACUACAUUGUCUAGGCAAGCAGGAGCUAACAAUGCACUGGAUCUCCAUGAAUCAGAGAGCUAGGAAGAUGCUGAAGGAAGUGAGUUACAUUGGGAUCCCUUUGGGAUAGUGGAUGGUAUGUGUAUCACAGGGUAAAGUGAGCCCCUACACAAUCGUUAGCCCAGGGGCCCAAGGAAUUCUGAUACUAUAAGGCAGGGGUUCAUAACUGUUUUGUGUAUCUUGGGCCCCUUUGGCAGUGGCUGGUGACGCCUGUUUUAAGAACAAAAGUUUCAAAUGUAUAAAAUAAAAUAAUUGCAGGGGAAGCCA